rnacentral:tRNA from 1 species
AAUUUUUUAUUGUGAUUAAAAAAGUUUUUGGCUAA